rnacentral:rRNA from 1 species
CAGUAGCCACGGGAAUACGUAGGGGGCAAGCGUUGUCCGGAAUUAUUGGGCGUAAAGCGCGCGCAGGCGGUCAUUUAAGUCUGGUGUUUAAUCCCGGGGCUCAACCCCGGAUCGCACUGGAAACUGGGUGACUUGAGUGCAGAAGAGGAGAGUGGAAUUCCACGUGUAGCGGUGAAAUGCGUAGAUAUGUGGAGGAACACCAGUGGCGAAGGCGACUCUCUGGGCUGUAACUGACGCUGAGGCGCGAAAGCGUGGGGAGCAAACAGGAUUAGAUACCCGCGUAGUCCCUGUCUCUUAUACA